AUUGAGCGCUGGCGGCAUGCCUUACACAUGCAAGUCGAACGGUAACAGAUCUUCGGAUGCUGACGAGUGGCGAACGGGUGAGUAAUACAUCGGAACGUGCCUAGUAGUGGGGGAUAACUACUCGAAAGAGUGGCUAAUACCGCAUGAGAUCUACGGAUGAAAGCAGGGGAUUGCAAGACCUUGUGCUACUAGAGCGGCCGAUGGCAGAUUAGGUAGUUGGUGGGAUAAAAGCUUACCAAGCCGACGAUCUGUAGCUGGUCUGAGAGGACGAUCAGCCACACUGGGACUGAGACACGGCCCAGACUCCUACGGGAGGCGGCAGUGGGGAAUUUUGGACAAUGGGCGCAAGCCUGAUCCAGCAAUGCCGCGUGCAGGAUGAAGGCCUUCGGGUUGUAAGCUGCUUUUGUACGGAACGAAAAGCCCUGGGUUAAUACCCUGGGGUCAUGACGGUACCGUAAGAAUAAGCACCGGCUAACUACGUGCCAGCAGCCGCGGUAAAAC
rnacentral:rRNA from 1 species